UUUCCGUAGGUGAACCUGCGGAAGGAUCAUUAUUGAAAUAAACCUGAUGAGUUGCUGCUGGCUCUCUUGGGAGCAUGUGCACACUUGUCGUCUUUAUAUCUCCACCUGUGCACCUUUUGUAGACUUUGGAUAUCUUUCUGAGUGCUUGUCACUCAGGUUCUUGAGGAUUGACUUUNACGUCUCUCUUUACAUUUCCAAGUCUAUGUUUCUUCAUAUACUCAAUGUAUGUCUUAGAGUGUAAUUAAUGGGCCAUUGUGCCUAUAAACUUAUACAACUUUCAGCAACGGAUCUCUUGGCUCUCGCAUCGAUGAAGAACGCAGCGAAAUGCGAUAAGUAAUGUGAAUUGCAGAAUUCAGUGAAUCAUCGAAUCUUUGAACGCACCUUGCGCUCCUUGGUAUUCCGAGGAGCAUGCCUGUUUGAGUGUCAUUAAUAUAUAUCAACCUCUUCAACUGUGUUGAGUGUUGGAUGUGGGGGUUUCCUUUUGCUGGCCUCUUUAAAAAGGUCAGCUCCCCUAAAAUGUAUUAGCGGAACAGUUUGUGGAUCGUUCAUUGGUGUGAUAACUAUCUACGCUAUAGACGAGAAACAGUUUCUGCUUCUAAUAGUCCAUUUAUUUGGACAACUCUUUUUUAUUAAUGUGACCUCAAAUC
rnacentral:rRNA from 1 species